AAGAACGCCGGCGGCGUGCCUAACACAUGCAAGUCGAGCGCGAAUGGAGCAAUCCUAGUAGAGCGGCGCACGGGUGAGUAACACGUGGGUAAUCUGCCUGGAAGAUCGGGACAACCUGCCGAAAGGCUGGCUAAUACCGGAUAAGCCCACGGGGUCCUCGGACCUCGAGGGAAAAGAUGGCCUCUGCAUGCAAGCUAUCACUUCCAGAUGAGCCCGCGGCCCAUCAGCUAGUUGGCGGGGUAAUGGCCCACCAAGGCUACGACGGGUAGCUGGUCUGAGAGGACGAUCAGCCACACUGGAACUGAGACACGGUCCAGACUCCUACGGGAGGCAGCAGUGGGGAAUUUUGCGCAAUGGGCGAAAGCCUGACGCAGCAACGCCGCGUGUGUGAUGAAGGUCUUCGGAUCGUAAAGCACUUUCGACCGGGACGAAAACCCGCUGGCUAACAUCCAGCGGUUUGACGGUACCGGGAGAAGAAGCACCGGCUAACUCUGUGCCAGCAGCCGCGGUAAUACAGAGGGUGCAAGCGUUGUUCGGAAUUAUUGGGCGUAAAGCGCGAGUAGGCGGCUUUGCAAGUCGGGUGUGAAAGCCCUCGGCUCAACCGAGGAAGUGCGCCCGAAACUGCAAAGCUCGAGUACCGGAGAAGAUGGCGGAAUUCCGAAGUAAAGGUGAAAUUCGUA
rnacentral:rRNA from 1 species